AAAAAAAACAUAAAUAUUCUGUUUUUAUUCAGACCAAACUAUUUUUUUUUUGUUUUAUUUCAAAAACUUCUAAAAUCAAAACUUUCAACAACGGAUCUCUUGGUUCUCGCAUCGAUGAAGAACGCAGCGAAUUGCGAUACGUAAUAUGACUUGCAGACGUGAAUCAUUGAAUCUUUGAACGCACAUUGCGCCUUGAGGUAUUCCUCAAGGCAUGCCUGUUUGAGCGUCGGCUCACUUCAAACCCUCGGGUUUGGCUUUGGCUCCAUCGAAACUACAAAACUAAUGCAAUACGUUUUCAUUAGUAUGUUUUCGCCCUCAAAUCAGGUAAGACUACCCGGCUCCCGAACUUAAGCAUAUCNUAAGCGGAGGAA
rnacentral:rRNA from 1 species